GUUAGCCACAACCUCAUGAUCAGGCUGGUGAGUUUUUCUAUUCAGCUCAAAGAAGCGCUGUAGCACAAGAGGGGCAAUUGGAAGCAAAUCAGUUUGGUCAGAAUUCACCGGAGAGUCCUUCCUUGGAGCAGGAUUCUCAAUCGGCAGCUGAAAGAUUAGUGAGACAGACUGAAUUCUGAACAUGUAUCAUCUGUUCCAUGUGAGAGAAAUCGCAUGUCGAUAUCAUCUUGAAAUAAUCACAGCUGGGGGGACGAGGUUGGUAGCUGAGGGUGAUGUGCAGAGCGGGAGGAAGGAGGUGUGAGGCUUGGAACUCUCCUUGUGAAGUGCUCAGGGACAGCGGUGAGGAGCAUGGCAGGUGUCCAACCUGACCUCCUCGGCAAUAGCAACAAGGGUGGCCGCGGCGACAAGGGAGGAGACGACAACCAGCAGAGCAAUGAGAUCGCUAAGUCUCUGAUCCCGUCACUUCCUGCUCGAUUCGCUUGGCUCCUGUGCUGAUUUCUCUUUGGUUUCCCAGGUUUGUUGUGGUUGCAGAAUGGCGCAGAGCAAUUGGGAAGCGGACUAUGGACAUGAUGCGUGAUGUACACAUCCAUGACUAUUUGCUCAAGUGAAACAUCCAAACGGCCAACCUGUUCAUGGUGGAGGGGGCCAUGCCUGCUAAGUCCUCCAAUUCAUGCUCAGGCUGGCGGCUGGGGCGAGCUGACCAUGAUGCUCUGCGAAGGCAAGUUCUCCAUGGAAUUCACACAACAUUCCAGCGUUCUUGUUGGCAGGUCUCUGCUCUUCUCCAUGUCCACGGGGACAGUGUGUCGAUCGUGGAGCAUGACCUGGCAAGUUGCGACCUGACUCUGCUCGGCCAACCAGACAAGCACUAUAAGCACAGAUGCUGUCAAGGAUGGGGAUUUUUGUCAACGCCUUUGAAUGCGUCAGCCACAACCUCAAGAUCAGGGCUCCUUGUUAUGGAGAAGGUGCUCUCGAGGGUGUAGCACACUCAACAAACAUGGAUGUGCCUUGCUACCCAAAGAUUCUCCUAGUGAUGUUCCUAAGAGGGCACCAAAUGAAGAAUCGGCGAAGGGUACAACCAGCAAAGAUGAUGCUGGGAACCUACGACCUCUGAUAGCAACGUUGAUGGUGCUUCACCUUCAGAGAAGGCUGGUGAGUUUUUCUAUUCAGCUCAAAGAAGCGCUGUAGCACAAGAGAGGCAAUUGGUAGCAAAUCAGUCUGGUCAGAAUUCACCGGAGAGUCCUUCCUUAGAGCAGGAUUCUCAAUCGGCAGCUGAAAGAUUAGUGAGACUGACUGAUGCUGAACAUGUACCAUCUGUUCCAUGCGAGAGAAAUAGCAUGUCGAUAUCAUCUUGAAAUAAUCACAGCUGGGGGGACGAGGUUGGUAGCUGAGGGUGAUGUGCAGAGCGGGAGGAAGGAGGUGUGAGGCUUGGAACUCUCCUUGUGAAGUGCUCAGGGACAGCGGUGAGGAGCAUGGCAGGUGUCCAACUUGACCUCCUCGGCCACAGCAACAACAAGGGUGGCCGUGGCGACAAGGGAGGAGACAACAACCAGCAGAGCAAUGAGAUCGCUAAGUCUCUGAUCCCGCCACUUCCUGCUCGAUUCGCUUGGCUCCUGCGCUGAUUUCUCUUUGUUUUCCCAGGUUUGUUGUGGUUGCAGAAUGGCGCAGAGCAACUGGGAAGCGGACUACGUCUACGGACAUGAUGCGUGAUGUACACAUCCAUCACUACUAUUUGCUCAAGUGGAUCAUCCAAACGGCCAACCUGUUCAUGGUGGAGGGGGCGAUGCCUGCUAAGUCCUCCAAUUCGUAAAUGCUCAGGUGCAACCUGGAAUGAUUGGGUUUAUGAGAUUGGGUGGCAGUAUAAUUCUCAUGCUGACGACAAUUAUUUUUUUGACGAGGAUUCAGUGGUUGUCUGGCAUGUGGUAGUUCAACUAGGAACUCAUCUGUAUAUACCAAAGCAAGGCGGGAGCUUUCAUCUGUAUAUACCAAAGCAAGGCGGGAGAAGAAGCAGAUUGAUUGAUGAAGGAAACACAUGAAAAAGAGGAAAAGAGCAGCUAAAUGAUUGAUGGGGCCUGUGACCUAUCCCUGUCGGUUCUCCUUUCCGCAAAUUAAACCAAUAAUCGAUAUUGUCAGUUUGAGAGUAUGCUGGAUGUGAGAGUUAAUGAAGAAGAUCACUCAUGCUGUUGAAAGUACACAAGCAGUCACUGUUAAGGUCUACCGAAAAACAUGUAGAUAUGUUUGGGAGCCUUUGUUGUAGCCAACAAAUUGUUCCUCAGAAAUUUAUAUUUAGUUCUGGUGAUUGUAAAGCAAUGGCUCUUGAAGUAGUUCCUCAGAAUCUUCUACAGGACAUGUUUUUGACAAAGUCUACAUGACAUAUGACUAAGACAAGACUCAUGCCAUAAGGUUCUCCAAAAUCCUUAUUUCAAGCAGAAAAACCUUUUUACACAACCACCUCAUUUUUCUCCAGUUUGGGGAUGGCAACAGUUCUACUCACAAUGGUGCUGCAUGCUGGAAGUACUCAUUAUCCUGUUGGCUCUACUCUGGGUUCCAUAUUAUGGAGAAGGUGUUCUGGAUGGUCCUAACAAGCUCAUAAACAUGGAUGUGUCUUGCUACCCUCCGGGUGAUGUUCCUAAGAUGGGAACCAAAUGAAGAAUCGGUGAAGGGUACAAGCAAUAAAGAUGAUGCCGGGAACUUGACGACCUCUGAUAGCAAUGUUAUCGGUGCUCCACCUCCAGAGAAAGCAUGUGGAAGAUCAUUUCCUUUGUUCUCUGAAUUACAUGCACUUUGGUGAACAAAAAGUAUGAUUGGUGUUCCUGGUGAAAAUGAGUGAAGCUAGAAGAUGCUAUGAGAAGGAACUUGCCAAGACUAUUUGAAGAACAGCCUGAUCUCCUGCAUGAGGGGCUCUUUUGUGUGUGCAGGACAAUCCCAACGAUUGUCCAUUCAUUUCAUCCGUCGUGUACAUCUUGGAGAACGGAAGUGCCAAACUUCAUGUCCUAAACCAACCGGUAUAUUCUGCACCUACGAAUAGCAAAGUAGAGCAUGCAACAGGCAAUACUCAAAAUUCAAAGAAUAUGCCAACUUACAGUUCUAGAGAGAAGAUAGGCCAGUUAUCACAUUACAAGAUAUUUUGUAAAGGGGGGCUCAGAUCAGAUAGUUGCAAAGGUGGUUGGUUAUGGGGGUACAUUCCAUUUCACAGCUCCAUUAGGCUUUGUUCGGUUACACCUCCUCACAGGGGGAUUGGGGUGGAUUAGAGGAGGUUUUGACUUGUGGAGGGUGCAAUCCCUGCCAAACCCCUCCAUUUUCCCUGUCAACCGAACAGGCCCUUAUUCAUGUUGCUAACCCUCUUUCUUUUUAUACUCCAUUGUUCAUGCUCCUAAUUCUCUUUCUUUCUUUUAACCCAUUCAUGUUGCCAAACUUAGUAAGCUGUGAUAAGAUGACAAAGUGAAAUUCCAAAUUACACUAAAUGACAGUAGAAUGCAAGCAUAUUACACUUUGAUAGUAAAUUUGCAUUCGGAUCAGACCAACUACUAGAAAUGUCGAGAUGAUAUCUGCAUGUCCAUUUUAUUUUACUGUAUUUAUUUUGCCUUCCUCUCCCUACUGAAUAAGCAUUGGACCAUUGUCUUACUUAAUUGAUUUGCUUUUGUGGGGCUUCAUUAAACCAACUAAGUAAACAGAUUUAAUUGCCUGCUAUUGAAAAAAGAAGAGUGAAGAUGUUUUUAACUGUUCAUGUACUUUCUGUUUUAUAUGUACUGAGGCUCAUACUCACUCAAACAUUUCAUGUUUGCAUAUAGUCCUUUGUUUUGUUACAGAGAAGGUAUCAUCGUAGUAAAAUAAAAUAAAAUUGAAGGUUGCUUGUGGUUGAUGAAUUUGUAGAAUAAUGUCUACUUUAUUAUAGCAAGACCAUAUUAGGUUAGGCUGCAUAUGUUGCAGUUUUCCGAUAUAGAAUACAUUCUACAUACCAAUAAGCCUGAGGUAUGCCAUUAAUGUCAUAUUUUUUUCAGAUUUUUAUUACUAAAUACAAGGGAGCAUCACUGAUAAUUAAAAUUACAUGUGGUGUUUUAGUUCAGAUUGCAGAGGCCAAACCUGAUGUUACCCCAUUGUUUUGUAAUGUGCAAGUUAAGCUUCUGAUGCUACAUAGUUGGCAUGCAGUAAAAUCUAGCAACCAUUGGUGCAGUGCCAAAUAAAGUAACCACAGCCGGUUUUAUCAACAGAGUCAUAUUUCAAAGGUACCCCUUCGCGUAAGUAUGAAACAGUUCUUCGGCUUAAGAAACUAGAGUCUUAGCUUACUAAAUUAAAUCUUAUUAAUAGCUCAUUUUAUUAGAAAUUCAUGAUUCAGGACCAUCAGAAACGCUUACGUGGUUCAGGAAAGCAUCGAGCAUAUCGUGUAGAGGAUAACACGUGCCAAGGGUUAUCUAAAUUGAGUUGAAUUCGGACUUCCAAUCGUGGUAUUUUCUUUUGACUGUCUAGGUCGGCCGGUGCCAGUUACUAUAUAGCUUGCUCUUCCUAACAAAAGUAACACAAAUUACUAUACCUUGAACUUUGCAACCUUAAUAUGGAGGUCAUGAAACAACAUUAUCCAACUGCAGGUAUGGGUCAGAGGUAGUUUAUACUUGUGGAAAGAAAACUCAAGAAGUAACAUGGCUAUUUUAUAACAUUAUAAAAGGCUUUGCAGCAUUGAAUCUUAACCUGAUGAAAAGGUGCGAUUUAAAAUGGUAAAGAGUCGCAAAAAUGAUUGAGGCGUCUGACGAGAGGGCCAAGAAAAAUAACGUAUAAGCUGUGUAGACAAUACAUGCACAUGGGUAGUUAUCUUGAGGGCUUCAGACAAAUAGGCCCAGUAGGGAUCAAAUCUCUUUGGCCGUGCAAGCCUUACUGCCUUAGAAACAAGCUUGCUGAGUUUUUUGUCAUAGAGGAUCUACUUCCAAUUCUGUACCUGUUGUUACAUCUCUGAUUGCCAUGUUCUCUAUGAAAUGAAAUCGAUUUUCAUUGUUGCUUACAAACUUUGUCUAGUUUUGUUAGGAACAUCACAAUUUUCAUCGGUAAUAUAUUCAGUAAAACAUACAUGUAUGCAUGAAAAUUACUUAUAUAUUCCUUGGACAAGAUGCUCAGAGUUUUAUCAAUUUUGUUGAUGCUUCCAGAAAAACAGGUACAGGUUCUUCUGUUCACAUUCUUUGAUCUUCAAUUUCACCUGAUCUUUCUUUGCAGAGAUAUAUAUUUUGUCGUAGAAGUUGCUAUUCCAUCAGUUGGCAAGUUAGUGAUUUUAUUUAGAGAAAGCGCGGCCUGGCCAGAAUGAAGCCGAGGGCAUUGACCAUGAUGCUGUUGCUAGGAUGGACUUCAGAGGGUUUGGCACAUCGGAGAAGUGCAUUCCGCUUUAGGUGGGAUCUUUUGGUCCAAUCCAAUAGAUGGCUGUUAGCUCUUUGGUACAUGCACUUGGAUCUCAGGAUAGCGCCAGGCAUAGCUCUAUGAUGCAAACCUAUUGGAGUGAAUAAACUCUGUUGUGAUGAACGGUGUUCUUGUUGUAAAUUGGCGGUCAUCUGAAAACAUUUCAUCUUUGAGAAGUAUGAUAACUAUCACUCACAUGUUUGCCUCGGGUACAAGAAAGCAAUCGAAGUACUCUGUUUCUCGA